rnacentral:tRNA from 1 species
GACCGGGUAGCUCAAAUGGUAAAGUAGCCGACAUAUGUCUUCGGGAGGUUCUGGGUUCGAAUCCCAGCCCGAGCA